ensembl:lncRNA
CUGAGAGAUACCUCUCUCCUUUGACUCUCAUCCUCGCGACAGCCGAGCCGCUCUUGCUUUCCUUCAGCACCCCUUCGACCAUAUUCUCCUUCUCCCAUACGUCCCCAAAACGCCAGCGAGUCAGAACAGUCCCGCUGUCUUUGCAUAUUUAAUUUAUUUCAGGUUUAGUUGCACAUUUAGUCUGCUUACGGGCUAUGUCGCAACCGGAGGAUAUUUGAAAAAGGCAUUGGGGGAUGGCAGCUAAGAGAAAUGGAGAUAGGGAGACUUAGCGGAACAUGACAAAAAUGUGAGUGACUGAUGGAUCAGUGGUUUGGACCUACAAUUCAGCAAGGGCGAUAUUGUAGUUUCGUCUGCUUUUGGAGGGCAUCGGGGGAUUUGAAAAUUGCCCGUACAAAGCUCGGAGAAGUGCCUCGUAACCGGAUCCGAGAAAAGAAAGCCCGGGAGAAAAGGACGACUGGUUUAGAGGAGGGAGAGACUAUCAAACAGUGAAGAUACACUGGAGCUCCACACCUCAGGUGUGUCUGGAAAGGGAUUUCAUCUACUCUGAUCGACAUAGAGAGGAAUCGGUCUCAACUAAUGUCAGAACAACCUAAAAAGACUUCCAAAAGUUUCUAGAACGAUAUCCUCAAAGAAGCAAGGAUGAAGUAGGCAUGAGGAUAUCAAGUCUUUGAAGUGGACUGAGUAUCAUGUCUCAUGAUUGGCCACAGUUUUUUUGGGAAUAUCAAAGCCUAAUGGUCUUAUAGUUGACAUGGCCUAGUUUUAAUGAUUGGAUUGCUGUAUAUUCAAGAACACUCUGUCUCCUAAACUAAAGCAUUUCAUGGAGAGAUACAAUUUUGCUUGAGGAACUGCGACGUAGAAUCAGGCAACAAGAUCUUAGGCUAAAACCCUGAUAUCACAACCCACUUUUAAUAAUUCUUUAGAUCAGUUGAAAUUUUGAGUCUCCUAAGUGUAUUCCAGCCUGGGAAAUGGAUGAAAUGAUAUGGACUCAGCCGAGAAUCUGGAGUCUCAGCUCCGAUCGGGAUAUGGCUUUGAGAUCAGACAUUCCGGGAAUCGAAGUGAGGGCUCCACUGGGAUAGAGCAUUCCCUGGUACUCAGCCAGUAGCAUCUUCUCAGAGUGAUUUGUUUCAUGGGAAAAUCCGAGUCCACAACAAGGCCUAAGGCAGGUGUACAGUAGAGCUGGCAGGGAGCGUGGUCGUCUGAAUCCUGGAGGUGGAUUGGAUCUGUUCAUCCACAGCACCAGGACCCAACACUCUUCAGAGGACACUCCACAGACAGCACCCGCUUGGACAGGGCAAGGAGGGUGAGAACACUGUGUUUAUAUCAUCUCCACCAACAAUUAGUGACGGAUUUAAUUAGCACUUUCCUCGCUACCGCAAAUCUGUGUCAUUUACUACACAAGGGGUCUUUUUAUAAAAAUGAACACAUUAAGAUUGCAUGUCAUCCUGUAAUGUGCUAACAGAUGGGUGAAUUGUUUUGUGAUUUCCUUAUUGGAGUGAUAAUAUAGAGGGACAGUACAGGAAGAGAUGGUGACAUUUAUUAUCCAGCAAUUAUGAUCUGGAGGGGUUUCUCAUAGGUGGGGUUUCUAUGUUCUUUCCCUUUUAGGUUUUCAUCAGCCAAAGGAGAAAGGGUGUAAGAUGGGAUUAAAGAAGCGUUGCUGUAGACCAGGGAGGGAAAGAGAACAAGAGAGAGAGAAAAGAAUGACAGAGCAAAAGAGAACAAGAGAGAAAAAGAGAAGCAAAGGCAGAGAGCGCGGACACUACACACUACCCAAAAGAUGCUCUAAAAAAGAUGCAGAGAGAGAGAAAGAGGGACAGAUGAAAUAAAAAAAAAAUCAGAGGAGGAGGAGGAGAUGAAAGAGAGACUUACUCCACAGACUGGAUGAGAAGGAAAGAUUAUGACAUUUUUUUUUUAUAUAAAUACAUGUAAGUGAAGGGAGAGAAAGAGUGAAUAGCAAGCGAAAGACGGGGGGGUUGUGGAACAGGGAAGCAUGAUGAAACGGAGGGAGUGGAAGAGCUUGUGUACGAGAGAGAGGAGGGA